UACGGAGGGUGCAAGCGUUAUCCGGAUUCACUGGGUUUAAAGGGUGCGUAGGUGGGCAGGUAAGUCAGUGGUGAAAUAUGGCAGCUCAACUGUCAGGGUGCCAUUGAUACUGCAGAGCUUGAGUACAGAUGAGGUAGGCGGAAUUGACGGUGUAGCGGUGAAAUGCUUAGAUAUCGUCAAGAACACCGAUAGCGAAGGCAGCUUACUGGGCUGUAACUGACGCUGAGGCACGAAAGUGUGGGGAUCAAACAGG
rnacentral:rRNA from 1 species